rfam:Triticum aestivum genome assembly, contig: Triticum_aestivum_CS42_TGACv1_scaffold_500257_6BL
CCCUGCAAAUGAUGUGAAAUAUUAUAUGGUAAACACUGGAUCUUUGAUAUGUUUACAAAACUCCGCCUUAUUAUCUGAUGCCACC